CAAAACAGUCUUGCAGCAGCAGCAGAAGUAGCAGCACGCUUCAGAAUCUGCCACCCACCCCCACCGUCGAACACACAGAAUCUGGAGAGGGGGGAGAAGGCAGGGGCUCCCUGUUAAAAGGGGAAACUAAGGGCCCGCGCGCGAGGGCAUGCACGGGAGAAGAGAGCAGGCCGCAAAGGAGACCCCGCCCGCGGAGCAAGCGAGGAAGCAGCGCGCACGGGCUUAGGCCGAGCGUGGAGGAGAGAGGGCGCUGCGUCCAGAGAUGGCCGCCCUCCUCCCGGUCACGUGACGCGGGCUACAAGGCAAGGCCGUGGGAGGGUCACGUGUCUGAGGAAAAGACGGUAGAGGAAACGGACGUUGCGCAGCCGCAGUCGUUGAUGCCGCGCGCCAGGAAGACGUGCGUCUGUACGUGUAGCCUCGAACGAACGCAUUUCCCCCUCAUAUCCAGUCCCCCCUCCCUUAGCGGCACGCUCGCCCAUCAUGUGACUUUCUUUCCUUCUCUUCCUCCCGCUGCCCGCCUCCCCCUCACCUCGAGCGCUGCAGGAAUGGGAGGGGGCAGAGAAAGGCUCGCGCGUCUGAGUGCCACGUGAUUAAAACGCUCCGCUUAUCGCUGACGCCUCUCGGGGGCCGGCACGACCCUUAUCAUGUGACCGGCGUCACGGCAGUCCCGAAGUUUUGUCCCCCCGCCUGCAACCUGGAUUGCGUCGAUGACGUCAUGCAGUUCGUUUAAACGCUAUCACGCUUAAAAUGACGCCAGCCAAAGAAAAAAAGACCGAAGGGCGAGAGUAUCAAGGGGGCGGGGCUUGUUAGCUUGAAAGUCACGUGUGCCUGUGGCGCCGUCUUCGCCUUGGCCUUGUGGGUCACCCUGAGGAGAGUCCUUGAAGGGCGGGAUGGAAAUGGCCCGUCGAAGCAAAUAACUCAUAGCAUGAGGAUGCUCCAAAGGCCACAGUGGGGACCCAGCCCGAAAAGGUCGCGAGAAACGUGGCAGACUUUCGAUUUCUCCAAAAGUGCUAGGCUUCUUCGUCAGGCAAAGCUGAUAGGAGUGUGCCUGACGGGGAAGGAAUAAGACGACACCUCCUCACAUUAAAAGGACAAAAUGUGCUGUGAUACCAGUUCAUCCUUCUGGGAUGAAGAAGUGAUGGCUGCUGCUCCCCAUUGGCCACCGAGAAAGGAGAAAGAAAGAAAAGCCUGGCUCCUACCACCCCUGCCUUGUGAAACUAACAUCUUGCCGGAUGAAGAGUUCUAGAGAACCUGAAAGCUUUCAAGGUUUUGGGGCCUUCUUUGGUUUGUCCUCCUAAUAAAGGCAUUACCAUGGACCAACACAGUUACGCUUGCAUAUGUUGAUAUGAUUAUGAUCUGCCAGGACCAUAUUUUUUAUACCCCCUUCCUCAGGACAGGGUAGCAUAGCAUAUGGAUAGUUCUCUUCCCCCAUCCCAUUUGAUCCUCACAACAACCCUAUGAGGUAGGUUAGGCAAACCAAUAGUGAUGGGCCUAAGGUCAACUCAGUGAGCUUUAUGGCUGAAUUGAGAAUUCACACCUAAGUCUCUGCAGUCCACAUCUAAUGUUUUAACCACUACACCACACCACCAUGAGAUGCUUAUGUGGUGGUGGGUAACCCAGAUUCCAGUGCUAUUAAGCUCACUCAGUGGUCUUUGGGCUUGGCACUCCUGCCCUCACUCCUUGACGAACCUCACGGGAUUGUUGUAAGACUGUAAUGCUCCACUGACCUCCGUUGAAGAUGGAACCCCAGAUUAAAAAUAUUAAAUAAAUCAAUAACUUUUGCUAUUGUUUUUAUUCCUUUUUUUUUAGUUAGUUGCUAAC